rnacentral:rRNA from 1 species
CGUGCUAAUCUGCGAUAAGCGCCGGUAAGGUGAUAUGAACCGUUAUAACCGGCGAUUUCCGAAUGGGGAAACCCAGUGUGAUUCGUCACACUAUCAUUAACUGAAUCCAUAGGUUAAUGAGGCGAACCGGGGGAACUGAAACAUCUAAGUACCCCGAGGAAAAGAAAUCAACCGAGAUUCCCCCAGUAGCGGCGAGCGAACGGGGAGGAGCCCAGAGCCUGAAUCAGCAUGUGUGUUAGUGGAAGCGUCUGGAAAGGCGCGCGAUACAGGGUGACAGCCCCGUACACAAAAGCGCAUGUGCUGUGAGCUCGAUGAGUAGGGCGGGACACGUGGUAUCCUGUCUGAAUAUGGGGGGACCAUCCUCCAAGGCUAAAUACUCCUGACUGACCGAUAGUGAACCAGUACCGUGAGGGAAAGGCGAAAAGAACCCCGGCGAGGGGAGUGAAAAAGAACCUGAAACCGUGUACGUACAAGCAGUGGGAGCACAGGUUUACCUGUGUGACUGCGUACCUUUUGUAUAAUGGGUCAGCGACUUAUAUUCUGUAGCAAGGUUAACCGUAUAGGGGAGCCGGAGGGAAACCGAGUCUUAAUUGGGCGUUAAGUUGCAGGGUAUAGACCCGAAACCCGGUGAUCUAGCCAUGGGCAGGUUGAAGGUUGGGUAACACUAACUGGAGGACCGAACCGACUAAUGUUGAAAAAUUAGCGGAUGACCUGUGGCUGGGGGUGAAAGGCCAAUCAAACCGGGAGAUAGCUGGUUCUCCCCGAAAGCUAUUUAGGUAGCGCCUCGUGAAUUCAUCUCCGGGGGUAGAGCACUGUUUCGGCUAGGGGGCCAUCCCGGCUUACCAACCCGAUGCAAACUGCGAAUACCGGAGAAUGUUAUCACGGGAGACACACGGCGGGUGCUAACGUCCGUCGUGAAGAGGGAAACAACCCAGACCGCCAGCUAAGGUCCCAAAGUCAUGGUUAAGUGGGAAACGAUGUGGGAAGGCCCAGACAGCCAGGAUGUUGGCUUAGAAGCAGCCAUCAUUUAAAGAAAGCGUAAUAGCUCACUGGUCGAGUCGGCCUGCGCGGAAGAUGUAACGGGGCUAAACCAU